rnacentral:rRNA from 1 species
UCGAGCGAGGCGGGGGGCACCCCCAGUCGAGCGGCGAACGGGUGAGUAACGCGUGGAUGACCUGCCCUUCAGCGGGGAAUAACCCGGGGAAACUCGGGCUAAUACCGCAUACGACCGAGAGGUGAAAGGGGGCCGCAAGGCUUCCACUGAAGGAGGGGUCCGCGUCCGAUUAGCUAGUUGGUAGGGUAAAGGCCUACCAAGGCGACGAUCGGUAGCCGGCCUGAGAGGGUGAUCGGCCACACUGGAACUGAGACACGGUCCAGACUCCUACGGGAGGCAGCAGUGGGGAAUUUUGCGCAAUGGGCUAACGCCUGACGCAGCAACGCCGCGUGGAGGAUGAAGGUCUUUGGAUUGUAAACUCCUGUCAGCAGGGAAAAAGCGACCUGACCUAAUACGUCAGGGAGUUGAUUGUACCUGCAGAGGAAGCCCCGGCUAACUCUGUGCCAGCAGCCGCGGUAAUACAGAGGGGGCAAGCGUUA